rnacentral:rRNA from 1 species
GAUGAACGCUGGCGGCGUGCCUAAUACAUGCAAGUCGAGCGGAAACAGGGAGAGCUUGCUCUCCGCUGUCGAGCGGCGGACGGCUGAGUAACACGUAGGAACAUACCCCAAAGUGAGGGAUAACUGCUCGAAAGAGUAGCUAAUACCGCAUGUUGUCUAAGGAUUAAAGCUUCGGCGCUUUGGGAAUGGCCUGCGUUCGAUUAGCUAGAUGGUGAGGUAAAGGCUUACCAUGGCGACGAUCGAUAGCUGGUCUGAGAGGAUGAUCAGCCAGACUGGGACUGAGACACGGCCCAGACUCCUACGGGAGGCAGCAGUAGGGAAUUUUCCACAAUGGGCGAAAGCCUGAUGGAGCAACGCCGCGUGCAUGAUGAAUGCCUUAGGGUUGUAAACUGCUUUUAUAUGUGACGAUUAUGACGGUAGCAUGUGAAUAAGGAUCGGCUAACUCCGUGCCAGCCGCCGCAGUAA